AACAUAACCUUUAGCCAACCAAGUAUUAAAGGCAACGCCUGCCCAGUGAGAAAUUAAACGGCCGCGGUAUCCUAACCGUGCAAAGGUAGCAUAAUCAUUUGUCUAUUAAUUGUAGACCUGUAUGAAAGGCAAAUUGAGAGCCCAACUGUCUCUUAUAACAAACCAAUUAAACUGAUCUUCUAGUACAAAAGCUAGAAUACCAACAUAAGACCAGAAGACCCUGUGAAGCUUUAACUAACCUAUUAAACCCAAUAAUAGCCACUUUAGGUUGGGGCGACCUUGGAAUAAAAAAGAACUUCCAAUCUAUGACUUCCUCAUAAACUAAGGCAAACAAGCCAACACUAGACCCAGUAUAGCUGACGAAUUGAAACAAGUUACUCCAGGGAUAACAGCGCUAUCUUCUUUAAGAGCCCAUAUC
rnacentral:rRNA from 1 species